AGGGGGGAAGGGAAGAGCCAAAGAGGGCAAGAACAAAGCAAGCAGGCAGCAAGAGUAAGAGGCAAGAGAGAAAGAGGAGGGGGCAAGCAGUCCCUUUUAUAGUGGGCCAGGACUUACCUGGCUGUUGCCCAGUAACUGUGGGGAGGAGCAUACCUGGCUGUUGCCAGGUAACUGUGAGAACUUGUGGUUAGAACCUCCCUUAGAAUACCUUGUGGUUAGAUCUUUCCUUUUACUCAACUGGUUGCUAAGCACUUUCCAUCUACCUUGUCAUGUACAUGAGCAAUGAAUUCUAUUUUGUAAUUGAGGUUUGUAGCUUUAUAAGCUGAGUGCUUUUUGAAAAUAAAUGAGGGCUAGCAGAUCUCAGUUUCGUCUCCUUUCUUUGUGUCCCUCGUUCCAUCCUUUCUCCCUCCCUCCCUUGAGACCUAUGUUGUUUAACCUUGAAGGUUGGGGAAUCUGGCUCCAAACAUGGGGCUUGAGUAUGAGAGAGUCAGUGAAGAACACUGCAGUCUUUUUGUCUGGCCAGACUUAGAGGAAGACAUCUUGCGUGGGAACCUGCCGCCUUGACUGAGGAUCUGGUUUUCUGGUCAGGAUAGUUCCCCUCUUCAAGCAACUUCUUUUAUUGAUACCACAGUUGCAAUUCUCAAGGUAAGAUUUCUGUUACAGGCUGGGUUUAUGGGUCAGUCUGUAGGCUUUUGCAGCAGGCACAAAGCUCAGAUUCAGUUCCUGGCAUCCAAUAAACAAAGUGUGGUGACAUGCUCCUGUAACCCCAUCAUU
rnacentral:lncRNA from 1 species